CAGUAGCCACGGUAAUACAGAGGCCUCAAGCGUUGUUCGGAUUCAUUGGGCGUAAAGGGUGCGUAGGUGGCUUGGUAAGUUGAAGGUGAAAUCUCGGGGCUUAACCCCGAAACUGCCUUCAAUACUGCUAGGCUCGAGGACUGUAGAGGAGAAUGGAAUUCACGGUGUAGCAGUGAAGUGCGUAGAUAUCGUGAGGAAGACCAGUGGCGAAGGCGAUUCUCUGGGCAGUUCCUGACACUGAGGCACGAAGGCCAGGGGAGCAAACGGGAUUAGAUACCCGCGUAGUCCCUGUCUCUUAUAC
rnacentral:rRNA from 1 species